UACGAAGGGGGCUAGCGUUGCUCGGAAUCACUGGGCGUAAAGCGCACGUAGGCGGACUUUUAAGUCAGGGGUGAAAUCCUGGAGCUCAACUCCAGAACUGCCUUUGAUACUGGAAGUCUUGAGUCCGGAAGAGGUAAGUGGAACUGCGAGUGUAGAGGUGAAAUUCGUAGAUAUUCGCAAGAACACCAGUGGCGAAGGCGGCUUACUGGUCCGGUACUGACGCUGAGGUGCGAAAGCGUGGGGAGCGGACAGG
rnacentral:rRNA from 1 species